CAUGGCGUUGCAAGGCGAUUCUCUACAAAUAGAGAUAUGAAAAUAAUAAAUAUCAUGUUCAACAAGGUGCCUGAACCACGUGACUUUUUUGGCUAUGUGUGGGACAAUCGGAUGUAAACAAAACGUCGCUUCAGAAUGCCAUUUGUUUGCGAACAGUGUGGCAGAGAGGUCAAAACACGGUCGGGGAUCUCCUAACACAAAGCCACCCACGCACGGACAGGAAAAUAGGAGAUUAAAGUAUUUUUGGAAGCACCUUCAAGAGAAGUACUGAUAUCUUGAUCAAUGAAAAGUUGUCAUAUACAAACAUGUAUAGUAAAUGUUCCAAAGUUUAAAUGACUGUUUGUUUUAUUACCAGAUGGUGCAAGUAUUGCAGGGAAAGAAAACAAUCAAA